AAACCAACAGGGAUUUCCCUAGUAACGGCGAGUGAAGCGGCAAGAGCUCAAAUUUGAAAUCUGGCCCUCUCAGGGUCCGAGUUGUAAUUUGUAGAGGGCGCUUUGGCGUUGGCCCCGGCCUAAGUUCCUUGGAACAGGACGUCACAGAGGGUGAGAACCCCGUACGUGGCCGCCGGCCUCCGCCGUGUAAAGCCCCUUCGACGAGUCGAGUUGUUUGGGAAUGCAGCUCUAAAUGGGAGGUAAAUUUCUUCUAAAGCUAAAUACUGGCCAGAGACCGAUAGCGCACAAGUAGAGUGAUCGAAAGAUGAAAAGCACUUUGGAAAGAGAGUCAAAAAGCACGUGAAAUUGUUGAAAGGGAAGCGCUUGCAGCCAGACUUGCCUGUAGUUGCUCAUCCGAGCUCCCGCUCGGUGCACUCUUCUGCGGGCAGGCCAGCAUCAGUCCGGGCGGUCGGAUAAAGGCCUCGGGAAUGUAGCUCCCCUCGGGGAGUGUUAUAGCCCGGGGCGCCAUGCGACCAGCCUGGACUGAGGUCCGCGCAUCUGCUAGGAUGCUGGCGUAAUGGCUGUAAGCGGC
rnacentral:rRNA from 1 species